GAUGAACGCUGGCGGCGUGCCUAAUACAUGCAAGUCGAGCGAACAGACGAGGAGCUUGCUCCUCUGACGUUAGCGGCGGACGGGUGAGUAACACGUGGAUAACCUACCUAUAAGACUGGGAUAACUUCGGGAAACCGGAGCUAAUACCGGAUAAUAUAUUGAACCGCAUGGUUCAAAAGUGAAAGACGGUUUUGCUGUCACUUAUAGAUGGAUCCGCGCCGCAUUAGCUAGUUGGUAAGGUAACGGCUUACCAAGGCAACGAUGCAUAGCCGACCUGAGAGGGUGAUCGGCCACACUGGAACUGAGACACGGUCCAGACUCCUACGGGAGGCAGCAGUAGGGAAUCUUCCGCAAUGGGCGAAAGCCUGACGGAGCAACGCCGCGUGAGUGAUGAAGGUCUUCGGAUCGUAAAACUCUGUUAUUAGGGAAGAACAAAUGUGUAAGUAACUGUGCACGUCUUGACGGUACCUAAUCAGAAAGCCACGGCUAACUACGUG
rnacentral:rRNA from 1 species